CCAAUGUUUCCAUUUAAGUCCUUUACUGUUUCUGAUUUCUAAUAAUGAUCUACCACGUUUUGUUUUAGAGAGUUCUAGCAUUGCACUUAUUUUAUUAUUUGCUGAUGAUGCUGAAAUUGUUUGCAAGAUCAAACUAAUUUACCAUUGAGGUUAAAUAAAUUUGUUUUAUGGAGUGAAAAAAAUUAUUUACCACUAUAGUGGCAAAAUAUUUAUAUAAUAUAAAUAUUAUAUUUAAAUAUUUAAAUUUAAUAAUAUAAAUAUUUAUAAAUAUCAAUAAAUGUAAUCUCUUUUAUCCGUAA